GUAUUACGGUACAGAGUCAAUGUGGAGACUAUAUACAGGGGGGUACCGGUACAGAGUCAAUGUGGAGGCUAUAUACAGGGGGGGUACCGGUACAGAGUCAAUGUGGAGACUAUAUACAGGGGGGUACCGGUACAGAGUCAAUGUGGAGGCUAUAUACAGGGGGGGUACCGGUACAGAGUCAAUGUGGAGGCUAUAUACAGGGGGGUACCGGUACAGAGUCAAUGUGGAGGCUAUAUACAGGGGGGUACCGGUACAGAGUCAAUGUGGAGGCUAUAUACAGGGGGUACCGGUACAGAGUCAAUGUGGAGACUAUAUACAGGGGGGUACCGGUACAGAGUCAAUGUGGAGGCUAUAUACAGGGGGGUACCGGUACAGAGUCAAUGUGGAGGCUAUAUACAGGGGGUACCGGUACAGAGUCAAUGUGGAGACUAUAUACAGGGGGGUACCGGUACAGAGUCAAUGUGGAGGCUAUAUACAG
rnacentral:lncRNA from 1 species